GGACCAUCAUGUCAGUCGUGCCUCGGUACAUACUGGCAUUGUUAGUUUCUACCUUCUGACGAACCAUGAUGUCAUUUAUUUGGUGUUGUAGGAAAUCAGGACUUGUUACUUUGAAAAAAUUAGAGUGUUUAAAGCAGGCUCACGCUUGAAUACAUUAGCAUGGAAUAAUGAAAUAGGACGUUUGAUUCUAUUUUGUUGGUUUCUAGGAUCGACGUAAUGAUU
rnacentral:rRNA from 1 species